UUUUGUACCACCCUACAAGACCCGUUCGGGUAUUUUUACAUUUCGGGUCGGAUAACGGGUCGGGUUUUUUGGUUCGGGUUCGGUUCAGAUUUCGGAUUCCGGAUGUUAUGCCCAUGCCUAAGGAUAUCCUACGGAUUGAAUCCCUCAACCCAUUUUGAGUACAUGAAGAUAAUACACACACGUGUUUCCACACUACUCUAAGUGUUUGUACUUGACACUAUUGUAAGCCAUGUGUCCCUAUCCAUUCAUGAGCGCAUACAAAACCAAGUCCCAGCUUAUUGAAGCGGCAUCACUUCUCACUCAUAUAGGUCCAAGCACAUACACUGGGAUGAUAUAUAGACAUGUGCUACAAUCUUUAAGUGUAGGCUUUCCACAUUGAAUUCAGCCUCUAACGUCGUAUUAAAAAGGAAUUGGGUAUCCCACCAUUAAAGAUUUCAAAUAGACUUUAAACUUAUCCCUUUAACAGACUCAAUUACCAAGUCUUUAGCUAAUCAUUUCGUCAAAUGAUAUGCUAUAUUUCUUUCAGACCGAACAAACCCUUAUGGUAUUCACCCCGUGAGUGAUCAGCUCAGAUAAUGCGCUAUAUCUAACGCUAGGUGUCGCGACUUACCAUUAAUCACUUGAUUAUAAACCUUAACCAAUAUUACUUCACUAUCAUAAAUAGAAACUGGUGGUAAUAUUUCGGUCACAACGGAAUCUCUUAAAUUAAAUUCCCUUAGCUAAUAUGCCUAUUAACCGGCAUAUGCUAAUGCUAAAAAGUUUUAUUCAAUAGUCAAACUUUCAUACAAAUUUGCUUCUUGGAAGCCCAUGAGAUGGCACCUCCCUAAGCAAAAUUACUCAACAACUUAUAAAAUAAUGUUCUUCUAUAUUGAUAAUCAAACUUGCAUCUAAAUACCCUUCUACCAUCGAAGAAAAUCUUACAUAUAACAAAUCAUAAUUUAUGGUUCCUUUCAAACAUUCAAGUUGUGAUACUUCUUGUCCUAUAUAAGGUACAAGCUUCACUCUCACAUAUAUGGGAGACUUCAUUGGAGAACAAUCUCACAAUUGAACUACUUAACAACUUUCUCAAUAUAAUGAAAUUAUGUUAACAAUAGUUUUUUACUUAUAUGUUAAAUUUUAACAAUCACAUCUACCUCCUCAUGUCUUUCAUUGAUGUUACAUUUGCACCUUAUCGAUGAUGAUCCAUUCGCACCCUUUUGGUGAUGAUACAUUCGCACCCUUUUAGUGACGAUACAUUCGAACCCUUUUGGUCCCAAACCAUUCGCACCCUUUCGGUCCUGAACCGUUCGCAUUCUACCCUUUCGGUCCCUAACCGUUCGCACCCUUUCAGUCUCCAACCGUUCGCAUCCUUUCGGUCCCGAACCGUUCGCACCCUUUCGGUCCCGAACCGUUCGCACCCUUUCGGUCCCGAACCGUUCGCACCCUUUCGGUCCCGAACCGUUCGCACUCUUAGGUCCCGACACGUUCGCACUCUUUAGGUCCCGACACGUUCGCACCCUUUGGGUCCCCACACGUUCGCACCCUUUGGGUUCCAUCACGUUCGCACCCUUUGGGUCCCGACACGUUCGCACCCUUUGGAUCACGACCCGUUCGCACCCCUUGGAUCACGACGCACUCGCAUCUCUUGGUUCACGACGCACUCGCAUCCCUUGGAUUACGAUAUGAUUGCACUUCUUCGAAAGUCUACUCUCUCAAGCAUUUACAACUUUCCAAACUUUGAUUUUAUCUCUCGCACAAAAUCAUAAGUUAUAGUUCACAACGAAAAUACUCUUUAAGAUUGUUGGUUAAUUAUUUGUUGGUUGGUAACACGAAUGGGUAUGAACUAUAUACUUGGAUAAUGACUGAAUCGCCAUGCUUUCCUUAAAGAGUAUUUCGACCCUAUUCCAAGCCUUUGGGUUACACGAAAUCUUUUUGUAGGAUAAGAGAAUCAAAGUCUCAUUCUUGUUCUAGGCUAAGAUACAAAAAUAACAAAUAAAGCUUUAGGGCUUAUGUGUUUCUUCAAAGAUCUUUGAUGAUCUUCGAACAAUGAAUCUUUCUUUCUCUCAAUCUUACUAACUAUUAGUUUUUGAUCUUCAAUAUUGUUUUACAAGUUGUGAUUCAAGUUGUGAAUUUAUUAUUUUCCAUUGCCCAUAACUCCUUUUAUAGAGUACUAAGGGUUACAAUGGUUAGCACCAAUAGUUACAAUGAUUAGUGAAGAAUUACAACCAUUAAUACCAAUAGUUACAUUGAUUAGACAAAAGUCACAAUGGUUCAUCACCAAAGACUUUAAUCACCAAUGAUAACAAUGGUUUAUCACCAAAGGUUGCAACCAUUUACCACUAAUAGUUACAAUUACAAACAGUUGCAUUUGUUCAUCUAAACAAUUGCAAUGUUUCACUUUAAUGGUUACAAGGGUUCACUUAAAUAUCCAACACUUACUUGUUGCUUUCUGGUUGGUUUGUUGUUUAUGUGUUGAAGGAUUUGUGCGGUCGAGACGCUGUGUGGGGGUAACAGCUAAACGCUGCGUUUUGGCUGUCGCUAGUCCUUCUUUUGUUGGAUAUUUGUGUGUUUUGUGUUUUUAGUGGGUCAAGCAUGGGGAAACUCAACUUGACUUGUGCGGUUGUGUCGGAUGGUUAUGUUAUAAUUGAAACAAAAUGUGCUUUUGGGAUA